rnacentral:rRNA from 1 species
CAGCAGCCGCGGUAAUACGAAGGGUGCAAGCGUUAAUCGGAAUUACUGGGCGUAAAGCGUGCGUAGGCGGUUUGUUAAGUCAGAUGUGAAAUCCCCGAGCUUAACUUGGGAACUGCAUUUGAAACUGGCAAGCUAGAGUCUUGUAGAGGGGGGUAGAAUUCCAGGUGUAGCGGUGAAAUGCGUAGAGAUCUGGAGGAAUACCGGUGGCGAAGGCGGCCAUCUGGGACAACACUGACGCUGAGGCACGAAAGCGUGGGGAGCAAACAGGAUUAGAUACCCCUGUAGUCCCUGUCUCUUAUAC